rnacentral:tRNA from 1 species
CCAUCCAUAGCUCAAUUGGUAGAGCAUCCGGCUCUUAACCGGCAGGUUCCAGGUUCGAUUCCUGGUGGAUGGA